UGGCAAGCAAGUCAGGUAUUUGGGAAUUUUUAUUUUAUUUAAAGGAUACGCUGCUAGGAGGGGUAGCUUUUAUUAUGGCGCGUGCUGCAACGACUGAACCCAGGUGUGGACGAAAGGCAGACUCAGUCCUCCUGGCAACCACAAAACAGUAAACCCAAAAGAUCCCAUAAAACAAAAAGACUGACAAACAUCCAAGCAACACACACGGAAUGCUGGAGGAACUCAGCAGGCCAGGUGGCAUCUAUGGAAAAGAGUUGACGCUUCGGGCCGAAACCCUUCGUACUGUGCAAAAGUCUUAGCCACCCUAGCUUUUUUGUAUGGUUUCAUAAGGCCUCCACAAAGCCCUGAUCACAAUAUUAUUGAGGCUGUCUCAGAUUACCUGAAGAGAAAGAAGCCAGCAAGACAGCCAAAGGCUGAAGAAGAACUGUGGCAAAUUCUCCAAGAUGCUCAGAACAACCUACCGGCCGAUUUUCUAAUAAAACUGCAUGACAAUGUUCCAAAGAGAAUUGACACAGUUUUAAAUGCAAAGGCUGGUCACACAAAAUAUCGAUUGAUUUAAUUUUUACUGUUCACUGCUAUUUAAAGUAAUUUUUGAUAUUUCGAAACUUUUCAUUGCUUUACAGAAUUUUUUUUACAUGUGCCUAAGACUUUUGUAAUUCUAAAUCCUAGCAGAGAGAAGCACAGAACAAGCUCAUAAUGAAUCUCAACCUCUUUUCACCAUGUCCCAUUUCACUUUGCAUUAAUUUACAUAAGGACAAAAAACUAACUAUACUGUAAAUUAUGCUGCCAAUCCACUGAGAAUCAGUUGCAGCUAACUAGCACAGAUCAAUUUCACCCUUUUGGUAUCUCCAACCUGGCAAUGGCACAAUGAGCCAAAUCAUUUUCUUUCCCACAAAUGCUCACAUUUUGGAUGUAAGGUGAAUAAUAGAGACUCAGAAAUUUUGUAGCUAAAAGCAUGUCAGAUCAAUAUUCUCUGGUGUUACAUUCUAGCUUUUUCAAGACCCCCAGACUCUUAUCUUUUGGCAUUCACGAGGCUGAGAUAAGUGCAUCCAAACUCGCACCAAGGUCAAUUCUCGGUAGUUUCCCAUCAUUAUAAAGAAUAGAAGUUGAGAAGUGAAGGGAAGUGAUGAUAUCUGGUAGGCAUGAUUUAAGGUAAUUUAUUUUGUUGCCAUUAAGAUAAUCAGGGAGGUUUAAAAUAUUUGUAGAAUUGGGUGUGUUAGAGCACCUGUCAGCAAAUGUCCCCAGGCACUGCAGAGUUAGUGAAGGAACCAGCCUUGAAGAAGAUGGCAAUUGCCAAGUUAGGUCAUGUUUCUUAAUUAAAGCUGAAAGAGGCAUUGAUAGUCCAGUUAAGGCCAAUGUCAGUGCUCAGAAUCCUGGGGCCUCGUAUUCAUAAAAGAUUCAGCAUUAAGGGAUAUCAAACAGGAAUUAUGCACCUAUUGUCUCUGUACCUUCUCAGUGACAUCCAUAGGUAUACACAGAGGAUCAAGGACACAACUCCUCCAGUAGACACAUGAAGGAUAACAAAACUAUACGUUUCUAAUUCCUGGGCUUCAGAUAAAUUGUUACCAUAGUAAUAUAAAAAUGCAAUAUAUGAAACUAAUUCCAGUACAAAUGUUUCAUGCAAAACUUAUGUGCCUCAAAGACUAAACCUUUGUGACAGAUGUCGACUUACUAUUAGAUAACCAUUACUUUAUCAUCAAUGAAUAAAGAAAAUAAUUUUUC